UGCCAGCCGCCGCGGUAAUACGGAGGGAGCGAGCGUUAAUCGGAAUUACUGGGCGUAAAGCGCGCGUAGGCGGCUUUGUAAGUCGGAUGUGAAAGCCCUGGGCUCAACCUGGGAAUGGCAUUCGAUACUGCAGAACUAGAGUAUGGUAGAGGGAAGUGGAAUUUCCGGUGUAGCGGUGAAAUGCGUAGAUAUCGGAAGGAACACCAGUGGCGAAGGCGACUUCCUGGCUCAAUACUGACACUGAGGUGCGAAAGCGUGGGGAGCAGACAGGAUUAGAUA
rnacentral:rRNA from 1 species